GAGUUUGAUCGUGGCUCAGAUUGAACGCUGGCGGCAGGCCUAACACAUGCAAGUCGAGCGGAUGACGGGAGCUUGCUCCUUGAUUCAGCGGCGGACGGGUGAGUAAUGCCUAGGAAUCUGCCUGGUAGUGGGGGACAACGUUUCGAAAGGAACGCUAAUACCGCAUACGUCCUACGGGAGAAAGCAGGGGACCUUCGGGCCUUGCGCUAUCAGAUGAGCCUAGGUCGGAUUAGCUAGUUGGUGGGGUAAUGGCUCACCAAGGCGACGAUCCGUAACUGGUCUGAGAGGAUGAUCAGUCACACUGGAACUGAGACACGGUCCAGACUCCUACGGGAGGCAGGCAGUGGGGAAUAUUGGACAAUGGGCGAAAGCCUGAUCCAGCCAUGCCGCGUGUGUGAAGAAGGUCUUCGGAUUGUAAAGCACUUUAAGUUGGGAGGAAGGGCAGUAAGUUAAUACCUUGCUGUUUGACGUUACGACAGAAUAAGCACCGGCUAACUCUGUGCCAGCAGCCG
rnacentral:rRNA from 1 species